UGGGUUUGGCUAUGAUUAUAAAGUAAGUCUGAAUGCUUAGUUGUAAUUUUGCAAUUGGGUACCAGUAUGACAGACUCCUAUACACCCAUAGAAUAUGAGCCCC